AUUGAACGCUGGCGGCAUGCCUUACACAUGCAAGUCGAACGGUAACAGGUCUUCGGAUGCUGACGAGUGGCGAACGGGUGAGUAAUACAUCGGAACGUGCCUAGUAGUGGGGGAUAACUACUCGAAAGAGUGGCUAAUACCGCAUGAGAUCUACGGAUGAAAGCAGGGGAUCGCAAGACCUUGUGCUACUAGAGCGGCCGAUGGCAGAUUAGGUAGUUGGUGGGAUAAAAGCUUACCAAGCCGACGAUCUGUAGCUGGUCUGAGAGGACGAUCAGCCACACUGGGACUGAGACACGGCCCAGACUCCUACGGGAGGCAGCAGUGGGGAAGUUUGGACAAUGGGCGAAAGCCUGAUCCAGCAAUGCCGCGUGCAGGAUGAAGGCCUUCGGGUUGUAAACUGCUUUUGUACGGAACGAAAAGCCCCGGGUUAAUACCCUGGGGUAAUGACGGUACCGUAAGAAUAAGCACCGGCUAACUACGUGCCAGCCGCCGCGGUAA
rnacentral:rRNA from 1 species